rnacentral:rRNA from 1 species
UGGAGUGCUCAUACCGAGGGGGAAACACCCGUUCCCAUUCCGAAUACGGAAGUUAAGCCCCUCAGGGCCGAUGGUACUAUACUCGUAAGGGUACGGGAGAGUAGGUUGGUGCUCCUU